CUCAAAUAGAAUUUAGAGUGAUCCUUACGGUUUACUAAAUCGCCCAUGCCUAAUUGUGAUGCAUCACCCUGCAGCCAUUGCAUGGGUAUACACUAUGUAUAUAUAUUUUCUGAGCCUAACCCAGUGUGUUGCAACUUGAGGAGUACACAGUUCUGGAAUUUUAGACUUAGGAAGAAGGCUCAACAUGGGGAAACACCUAUCGCCUUGUGGCCUGAGGACCACUCAGACCUCACUAUCUGCUCCUAGGGAUUCGCCCUUCCCACCAGAGCACUGCUAGGAAGACACACCCCAUGAUCUCCUUAUUUGCUGCAAAUAAAGUUUCCUUGAUGUGACAACUCCA